UUAGUUUUGGAGUGCGUGUCAGUUGUGCGUUUACAUGAAAUUUCCAUUGACUUCGGAGAGCGCAUGAAAGCUGUAAAUGCACUAUCUGGUACGCACCAGAGAAA
rnacentral:pre_miRNA from 1 species